GCACCAGACUCCUACGGGAGGCAGCAGUGGGGAAUAUUGCACAAUGGGCGAAAGCCUGAUGCAGCAACGCCGCGUGAGUGAUGAAGGCCUUCGGGUCGUAAAACUCUGUCCUCAAGGAAGAUAAUGACGGUACUUGAGGAGGAAGCCCCGGCUAACUACGUGCCAGCAGCCGCGGUAAUACGUAGGGGGCAAGCGUUAUCCGGAUUUACUGGGUGUAAAGGGAGCGUAGACGGCAAUGCAAGUCUGGAGUGAAAGCCCAAGGCCCAACCAUGGGACUGCUCUGGAAACUGUGUAGCUUGAGUGCAGGAGGGGUAAGCGGAAUUCCUAGUGUAGCGGUGAAAUGCGUAGAUAUUAGGAGGAACACCGGUGGCGAAGGCGGCUUACUGGACUGCAACUGACGUUGAGGCUCGAAGGCGUGGGGAGCAAACAGGAUUAGAUACCCCGGUA
rnacentral:rRNA from 1 species